rnacentral:misc_RNA from 1 species
UCUCCGUUGGUGAACCAGCGGAGGGAUCAUUACAGAGUUUUCACAACUCCCAACCCUUCCGAACCGUACCCAUUCUGUUCUCGUUGCUUCCCGCGUGGGGGCCGGGGCGGCCCGAAACGCCCUCCCCGCCCCCCCCCCCGCGGGCGGUUGGCACAACGAACCUUCAUUUCUUAACCACCAGAAACCGUUCGAAAAUACAAACAAAAUAAUUCAAACUUUCAACAACUGAUCUCUUCGCUCUGGCAUCGAAGAACAAAGCAGCAGAUCGGAAGUGCACAC